UUCCUCCAGACAUGGUGUGACCAGAGGCCUUCAUGGAGAAGAGUUGUGGGUGACCUGUGGAGUAUCUGGCCACAGACACAUUAGCAAGCUAUACCUGGAGAGAUCUCUAAGGGACCUUUCGUUGGAAGGUCCCAAGAGCUGAGAUGGGUGGAUCCUGAACUGCAAGAAGACAAAGCACUUCUGUCUUCAUAUACAGCAGUUUCUCUAGUCAACCUGAGAUGAAUCCCAAGACGGAAAACGAGCAAAAACUGUGUCUGAGGCUUCUGAGAACAGCGGAAUGGCUUCUCUCCAGUCAUGUUCCUCAUCUGGCCUUCUUCCAUCCCUCACCUGAAAAUUAGUCACCUUCUUACAAACCUGGUGAUGGUGGUGAUCCAUAUGUAUUGUGUGUGUGUGUGUGUGUGUGUGUGUGUGUGCGCGCACGCGCGUGUAUGCCUGCGUGCGUGUGUGCACGCAUGCAUGCGUGUCUGAUUAUUGAUUGAUGGAGGUGGGCAGCAGGACCUCGUGGGUAGUGUCACACUGGACAAAGAAACUGUCAUAUUUUCCAAAUACAUUUCUGGAAAAUGUGCUGGCAUCUCUAUGAGGUUACUAGGGGAAUGAGCCAUAGCAGGAUAGGUAUGAAACAUUGUUACCAUUUAUUAUGAGAAAAAAAAAGUGUUAAGUAGCUGGUUUAGUGGGAUACAGGGACUGCAACAGUCUGUCUGCUUAAAAGGACUUUCUACUUGAUUUAGCUGUCAUCUACUUGAUGCAAAUUAUUUUGCAUUUUCCUGUCUCCAAGUUCUUCCUUUGAAAGUCAAAUAAAAGCAUAAUUCUCUUGUUUUCAUCACCUCCUUUAAAACUAGGCACAUCAAAA
rnacentral:lncRNA from 1 species